AGUUUGCAUGAAAACAGUAUGAAAGCUGAGGCGAUGAAUGAUGGGGAUGCGUUCCAUUAGGUAGUAGGCGGGGUAACGGCCCACCUAGCCGACGAUGGAUAGGGGUUCUGAGAGGAAGGUCCCCCACACUGGAACUGAGACACGGUCCAGACUCCUACGGGAGGCAGCAGUGAGGAAUAUUGGUCAAUGGGCGCAAGCCUGAACCAGCCAAGUAGCGUGAAGGAUGACUGCCCUAUGGGUUGUAAACUUCUUUUAUAUGGGAACAAUUGGUUUUACGUGUAGAAUUUUGCGUGUACCAUAUGAAUAAGCAUCGGCUAAUUCCGUGCCAGCAGCCGCGGUAAUACGGAAGAUGCGAGCGUUAUCCGGAUUUAUUGGGUUUAAAGGGAGCGUAGGCGGCCUGUUAAGUCAGCGGUUAAAUGUCAGUGCCCAACAUUGGCAUGCCGUUGAUACUGGUGGGCUUGAAUACACACAAGGAUGGUGGAAUUCGUUGUGUAGCGGUGAAAUGCUUAGAUAUGACGAAGAACUCCGAUUGCGAAGGCAGCCAUCUGGGGUGCGAUUGACGCUGAGGCUCGAAAGUGCGGGAAUCAAACAGGAUUACAUACCCUGGUAGUCCGCACCGUAUCGGAUGAAUGCUCGUUCUGGGCGAUAUCAUCUCCUGGGAGUUAGGGAUACCACUAAGCAUUUCACCUGGGGAGUACGCCGGCAACGGUGAAACUCAAAGGAAUUGACGGGGGCCCGCACAAGCGGAGGAACAUGUGGUUUAAUUUGAUGAUACGCGAGGAACCUUACCCGGGCUUGAACUGCGACUGACCGGCAUAGAGAUAUGCUUUCCCUUCGGGGCAGUUGUGGAGGUGUUGCAUGGUUGUCGUCAGCUCGUGCCGUGAGGGGUCGGUUUAAGUGCCAUAACGAGCGCAACCCUUGCUGUCAGUUGCCAUCUACGUAAUGGUGGGCACUCUGGCGGGAGUGCCAUCGCAAGAUGUGAGGAAGGUGGGGAUGACGUCAAAUCAGCACGGCCCUUACGUCCGGGGCUACACACGUGUUACAAUGGGGGGCACAGCGCGCCGCUACCUGGUGACAGGCUGCCAAUCGUAAAAUCCCCUCUCAGUUCGGACUGGAGUUUGCAACCCGACUCCACGAAGCUGGAUUCGCUAGUAAUCGCGCAUCAGCCAUGGCGCGGGGAAUACGUUCCCGGGCCUCGUACACACCGCCCGUCAAG
rnacentral:rRNA from 1 species